GAUGAACGCUGGCGGCGUGCCUAAUACAUGCAAGUCGAGCGAACAGACGAGGAGCUUGCUCCUCUGACGUUAGCGGCGGACGGGUGAGUAACACGUGGAUAACCUACCUAUAAGACUGGGAUAACUUCGGGAAACCGGAGCUAAUACCGGAUAAUAUAUUGAACCGCAUGGUUCAAUAGUGAAAGACGGUUUUGCUGUCACUUAUAGAUGGAUCCGCGCCGCAUUAGCUAGUUGGUAAGGUAACGGCUUACCAAGGCAACGAUGCGUAGCCGACCUGAGAGGGUGAGCGGCCACACUGGAACUGAGACACGGUCCAGACUCCUACGGGAGGCAGCAGUAGGGAAUCUUCCGCAAUGGGCGAAAGCCUGACGGAGCAACGCCGCGUGAGUGAUGAAGGUCUUCGGAUCGUAAAACUCUGUUAUUAGGGAAGAACAAAUGUGUAAGUAACUAUGCACGUCUUGACGGUACCUAAUUAGAAAGCCACGGCUAACUACG
rnacentral:rRNA from 1 species